GCAUUUUCACAGCCCUGUAAAAAGUGACUUUGAUCAGGAUUUUACAUAUAAGGAAACUGAGGCCCCGGGGCAGAAUGUCCUCCUUGCCUGUGACAAGCCUCAGCCUUGAACUUAGAACCAUGUCUGCUCCGCAGCCCUUCUCUGUGGAGUCUCACCCUGGGAGAGUGCAUUACAAAAGAGGACACCUGUACACACCAGUAAUGUGUCACUGCCCCCUUCGGUGCCUAACCUGCCCCAUUUCAGUUUGGCUGCAAAGCCAAUACUAAAGUCAACCAGCACUGGACUCCCAGUGCCAGACCUACUUUGUAGAGAACUUUAUUUCUUCUAUUUUUUCCCCCAAAUACAUCUUAUAGCCUACUUACGUGUCCUUGCUCCAGAAGCAAUUAUAUCCUGGGCCAUGAAAGCACAAAUGUAAAGCCAGGUUAAGAAGAAGAGGAACCAUACCAACAGGCAUGGUUUUACAUGAUUACCCCCUCCAGGCUGCACCUACUCCCUUAUCCUGAGUAUUGCUGUCUCCCAAGGCGUUGCUUUAAAUCUGAGCUGCUCUGAGGUCUUCUCACGUGUGAAUGGGAGGCUGACGGAGCUGACCUCUUUAGCAGUGUCUAAGCAUCAGAUACUAGGACACAUAUAGUAUUCCUGACAGAUACUGUUUUGUGGCUAUGGUGCCAUGAGCAGUGAUGCAUCUGUCUGUCUCCCAUGAAUCCAGGUCCAGUGCAUGCCUGAGACUUCCCUCAGGCUAAUCCUGACAGCCCCAGUCUGGGACUGUGAGCCAACUGAGUCAGGUAGAGGAGUUGAGUUGCAAUGAUGACUCCCUUCCUUGCCAGCUUCCGCUUAAUUUUGCUUCUCUGGAGCUUGUGUGUGUGUGUGUGUGUGUGUGUGUGUGUGUGUGUGUGAAAAUCCCUAGGAGGGUCACCUUGUAAUGAGAGUCCUGAUUGGUCUCUGUCAGAUCGCAGGUCUUUCGGCUGCUGUCUCUCUGAGAAAUCAGGCUACACUCCUCUCAGUCUCCCUCUCUGGAAGAACAGCUGAACUGUCUCUUCCCCUUAUAGAGGCAAGAAAGACCUCCCCCCCUCCCCCACCAUUGUACAGACCCAAGGCAACCUUGAAUUUGAACUCCUACCCAGGGUCCAUGUCCAUCCCAACUCAUGGAAGGUAGGCUAGGUCACGGGAAUGGGAUUUAACACCUCCACCCCCUUCACCAGAAGCCUGUAUGAGCGAGGGAUUGCCUUUGUUCCCUUGAGACUGAAGGUUCCUCCUGUCUCUUCCCUCAAGACCCCGUAGUGCUAGCUGUGAUGCAGGCCUGUGCCUCCUAACCUUCACAGCCAAGGGAACUGAGGUCUCUCCCUUCAGAGCCACCAUCCUAUCGAUUGCCUUCCAACUUCAGAAUCCUUCAUGGCUGCCUACUGCCACGAUGCUGUAAUUCUUCUGAACGGCUGUUUUGAAGAGGAAUUUUCAUCCCAGGGUUUCUGGCAUCUCAGGCUGCCCUUGACCUCUCUUUAUAGCCAAGGACGACCUUGAACUUCAGUCCUCUGCUUCCUGAGUGCUGGAGUCACAGGCACAUGCCACCACACCUGUUUCAGUUGGUGUGGCAUCGAACCCAGGAACUCAUGCACGAUAGUUGAGUGUUGACUGAGCAGCACCCCAGCCCUAUUUCCUCUAAUCUUGGUGACUGUGAUCUUCCAGAAGAGUCCAGACUGAUCUUGAAAUCAAAAUCCUCAGGUCUCAGCUUUCAUUUCCAAGUGCUGGAAUUAUAAGGAUGUGCCAAAAAGCCAAAGUUCUUUUUUUUUUUUUAAUUAAAAUUACAUUUAUUUAUUUAUUUAUUUGUGUGUGCAUAUGUGUGUGUGUAUGUUUGUGUGCUGGUACAUAUAUGCCAUAGUAUAUGUGGAGAUGAAAAAACAAUUUGUGGAAGUUUGUACGUUUCUUCUAUCGUGUGAUUCUUGAGGGCUGGAACUCAGGCCAUUAGGCUUGACAAUUGCCCAUCUCAC